rnacentral:rRNA from 3 species
CAGACCUCUAAUCGGAAAAGACUACCCGCUGAGUUUAAGCAUAUCACUAAGCGGAGGAGAAGAAA